AUUGAACGCUGGCGGCAGGCUUAACACAUGCAAGUCGAGCUGGGUGAUGGUGCUUGCACUAUCACUUAGCGGCGGACGGGUGAGGAAUGCUAGGAAUCUGCCUAUUAGUGGGGGACAACCUCUCGACAGGGAGGCUCAUACCGCAUACGUUCUACGGGAGAAAGCAGGGGAUCACUUGUGACCUUGCGCUCAUCGCUGAGCGUAAGGCGGAAUAGCUAGUUGGUGGGGUAAAGGCCUACCAAGGCGACGAUAUGUAGCGGGUCUGAGAGGAUGAUCCGCCACACUGGGACUGAGACACGGCCCAGACUCCUACGGGAGGCAGCAGUGGGGAAUAUUGGACAAUGGGGGGAACCCUGAUCCAGCCAUGCCGCGUGUGUGAAGAAGGCCUUAUGGUUGUAAAGCACUUUAAGCGAGGAGGAGGCUCUUUUGGUUAAUACCCAAGAUGAGUGGACGUUACUCGCAGAAUAAGCACCGGCUAACUCUGUGCCAGCCGCCGCAGUAA
rnacentral:rRNA from 1 species